UGGGGAAUCUUGCACAAUGGGCGAAAGCCUGAUGCAGCGACGCCGCGUGCGGGAUGAAGGCCUUCGGGUUGUAAACCGCUUUCAGCAGGGACGAGGCCGCAAGGUGACGGUACCUGCAGAAGAAGCCCCGGCUAACUACGUGCCAGCAGCCGCGGUAAUACGUAGGGGGCAAGCGUUAUCCGGAUUCAUUGGGCGUAAAGCGCGCGUAGGCGGUUUGUUAGGUCAGGAGUUAAAUCUGGGGGCUCAACCCCUAUCCGCUCCUGAUACCGGCAGGCUUGAGUCUGGUAGGGGAAGGCGGAAUUCCGAGUGUAGCGGUGAAAUGCGCAGAUAUUUGGAAGAACACCGGUGGCGAAGGCGGCCUUCUGGGCCACGACUGACGCUGAGGCGCGAAAGCUAGGGGAGCGAACAGG
rnacentral:rRNA from 1 species